AAGUCGUAACAAGGUUGACCCUUCCCGAAUUAUAAUCGGAAGCCUUGUUUAAUUAGUUAGGUGUUUUAGACACUUAGCAAGAAUCACAGUUUGCGGGAAGAAGCUAUUUAAUCAUAGUUUCAACCUGCAGUGGCUAUGCCCACUCACAGACUAAACGUGGUUCGCUCUUAAUGCUCAGCAUUGGAGUUAUGAUAUAGUCGGUCCUCGAAAUUCAUUUUCGAUUUUGGAGUAAACGUUCCGUAGGUGAACCUGCGGAAGGAUCAUUAAAGAGAUCGUUUUCUCUGGUGUAAAAGCUAGAGAAAUCCUCCAACCCUUGUCUAUAAACAAAAUUUGUUGCUUCGGCGAGCUUAAAAGAAUUUAAUUUAAUCAAUUUGCUUGCGCUUCUUAAUUAAUCCUUUCUUUUCGCCAGAGAAUUAAUCAACUCUGAAUUAACAAUUGUCUGAUUAAAUUUAUAAAAUUGGCUUCACAACCAAUUAAUUAAAAUACAA
rnacentral:misc_RNA from 1 species